rnacentral:tRNA from 1 species
GGUCUGGUGGUGUAGUUGGUUAUCACGUCAGUCUAACAGCUCGAAAGAGUGCCUCGCCUCUCUCGUCUGCCACACUGAAGGUGUCUCCGGUUCAAGUCCGGGCUAGAUCA